UACAGAGGUGGCAAGCGUUGUUCGGAAUUACUGGGCGUAAAGGGCGCGUAGGCGGCCUUCUAAGUCAGACGUGAAAUCCCCAGGCUUAACUUGGGAACUGCGUCUGAUACUGGGAGGCUUGAGUGCGGGAGAGGGAUGUGGAAUUCCAGGUGUAGCGGUGAAAUGCGUAGAUAUCUGGAGGAACACCGGUGGCGAAGGCGGCAUCCUGGACCGACACUGACGCUGAGGCGCGAAAGCCAGGGGAGCGAACGGG
rnacentral:rRNA from 1 species